UGGGGGAUAUUGCACAAUGGGCGAAAGCCUGAUGCAGCGACGCCGCUUGGGGGAUGAAGGCUUUCGGGUUGUAAACCUCUUUCGCUAUCGAACAAGGCCCGCCUAGGGUGGGCUGAGGGUAGGUGGAGAAGAAGCGCCGUCUAACUACGUGCCAGCAGCCGCGGUAAUACGUAGGGCGCGAGCGUUGUUCGGAAUUAUUGGGCGUAACGGGCUUGUAGGCGGCUUGUUGCGCCUGCUGUGAAAACGCGGGGCUUAACUUCGCGCGUGCAGUGGGUACGGGCAGGCUUGAGUGUGGUAGGGGUGACUGGAAUUCCAGGUGUAGCGGUGGAAUGCGCAGAUAUCUGGAGGAACACCGAUGGCGAAGGCAGGUCACUGGGCCAUUACUGACGCUGAGGAGCGAAAGAAUGGGUAGCGAACAGG
rnacentral:rRNA from 1 species